AUUGAACGCUGGCGGCAUGCUUUACACAUGCAAGUCGGACGAGUGGCGAACGGGUGAGUAACGCAUCGGAACCUACCGAGUAUCGGGGGAUAACUGCUCGAAAGGACAGCUAAUACCGCAUAUCAUUCGAGGGGCCCCUGUCGGAUUAGCUGGUUGGCGGGGUAAAGGCCCACCAAGGCGACGAUCAGUAGCGGGUCUGAGAGGAUGAUCCGCCACACUGGGACUGAGACACGGCCCAGACUCCUACGGGAGGCAGCAGUGGGGAAUUUUGGACAAUGGGCGCAAGCCUGAUCCAGCCAUGCCGCGUGUCUGAAGAAGGCCUUCGGGUUGUAAAGUACUUUUGUCAGGGAGGCGGUACCUGAAGAAUAAGCACCGGCUAACUACGUGCCAGCCGCCGCGGUAAUAC
rnacentral:rRNA from 1 species